rnacentral:rRNA from 1 species
GUUCCCUACGGGAUGCAGCAGUGAGUACUCUUGGUCAAUGUUCGAGAGCCUGAACCAGCCAAGUCGCGUGAAGGAUGACGGCCCUACGGGUUGUAAACUUCUUUUGUCAGGGAGCAAUUGGGUCCACGCGUGGGCUUAGCGAGAGUACCUGAAGAAAAAGCAUCGGCUAACUCCGUGCCAGCAGCCGCGGUAAUACGGAGGAUGCGAGCGUUAUCCGGAUUUAUUGGGUUUAAAGGGUGCGUAAGCGGAAUAUCAAGUCAGCGGUAAAAAUUCGGGGCUCAACCCCGUCGUGCCGUUGAAACUGA